AGCGGAGGAAAAGAAACUAACGAGGAUUCCCCUAGUAACUGCGAGUGAAGCGGGAAGAGCUCAAAUUUCGAAUCUGGCGGCCAAGGGUCGUCCGAGUUGUAAUCUAGAGAAGCGUCUUCCGCGCUGGACCGUGUACAAGUCUCCUGGAAGGGAGCGUCGUAGAGGGUGACAAUCCCGUCUCUGACACGGACCCCCAGUGCUCUGUGAUGCGCUCUCGACGAGUCGAGUUGUUUGGGAAUGCAGCUCAAAUAGGGUGGUAAACUCCAUCUAAAGCUAAAUACAGGCGAGAGACCGAUAGCGAACAAGUACCGUGAGGGAAAGAUGAAAAGAACUUUGGAAAGAGAGUUAAACAGUACGUGAAAUUGCUGGAAGGGAAACGCUUGACGUCAGUCGCGUCGUCCGGGGAUCAACCCUGCUGCUAGCUGGGCGUACUUCCCGGUCGACGGGUCAGCAUCGAUUUCGGCCGUCGUAGAAGGACGGGAGUGAAUGUGGCACCCCUCGGAGUGUGUUAUAGCCUCUCGUAUGGAUGCGACGGCCGGGAUCGAGGAACUCGGCACGACCCCCUCGAGGGUUCGGGGCUUCGGUCCACGCGGCGUGCCCAGGAUGCUGGCGUAAUGGCUUUAAGCGACCCGUCUUGAAACACGGACCAAGGAGUCUAACAUGCCUGCGAGUGUUUGGGCGGAAAACCCGAGCGCGCAACGAAAGUGAAAGUCGAGACCUCCGUCGUGGAGGGCACCGACGCCCGGACCGGAGCCUUUGGCGAUGGAUCUGCGGUGGAGCAUGUAUGUUGGGACCCGAAAGAUGGUGAACUAUGCCUGAAUAGGGCGAAGCCAGAGGAAACUCUGGUGGAGGCUCGUAGCGAUUCUGACGUGCAAAUCGAUCGUCGAAUUUGGGUAUAGGGCGAAAGACUAAUC
rnacentral:rRNA from 1 species